rnacentral:snoRNA from 10 species
AUGCAGCCAAUUAAGCCGACUGUGCUCUUUCCCCAUGGGAGCCCAGUGUGCAAUGGCUGCAAACAGUAGCCUCCUUGGUAGUGUAUGCAGCCUGUUGAUUGUACAGGUUGCCCUAAGGGACCUUGGAGACAGCC